UACGUAGGGGGCAAGCGUUGUCCGGAAUCAUUGGGCGUAAAGCGCGUGUAGGCGGCUCGAUAAGUCCGCUGUGAAAGUCCAGGGCUCAACCCUGGAAUGCCGGUGGAAACUGUCGAGCUAGAGUCCGGAAGAGGCGAGUGGAAUUCCUGGUGUAGCGGUGAAAUGCGCAGAUAUCAGGAGGAACACCAAUUGCGAAGGCAGCUCGCUGGGACGUUACUGACGCUGAGACGCGAAAGCGUGGGGAGCGAACAGG
rnacentral:rRNA from 1 species